rnacentral:tRNA from 1 species
AGUUAAAUACUUUAUGAAAGUAUUAUGUUUUGAAAGCAUAAUAAAGAGGUUUAAUCCCUCUAUUAACUU